GGGUUGUGAGGUUAAGCGACUAAGCGUACACGGUGGAUGCCCUGGCAGUCAGAGGCGAUGAAGGACGUGCUAAUCUGCGAUAAGCGUCGGUAAGGUGAUAUGAACCGUUAUAACCGGCGAUUUCCGAAUGGGGAAACCCAGUGUGUUUCGACACACUAUCAUUAACUGAAUCCAUAGGUUAAUGAGGCGAACCGGGGGAACUGAAACAUCUAAGUACCCCGAGGAAAAGAAAUCAACCGAGAUUCCCCCAGUAGCGGCGAGCGAACGGGGAGCAGCCCAGAGCCUGAAUCAGUGUGUGUGUUAGUGGAAGCGUCUGGAAAGGCGCGCGAUACAGGGUGACAGCCCCGUACACAAAAAUGCACAUGCUGUGAGCUCGAUGAGUAGGGCGGGACACGUGGUAUCCUGUCUGAAUAUGGGGGGACCAUCCUCCAAGGCUAAAUACUCCUGACUGACCGAUAGUGAACCAGUACCGUGAGGGAAAGGCGAAAAGAACCCCGGCGAGGGGAGUGAAAAAGAACCUGAAACCGUGUACGUACAAGCAGUGGGAGCACGCUUCGGCGUGUGACUGCGUACCUUUUGUAUAAUGGGUCAGCGACUUAUAUUCUGUAGCAAGGUUAACCGAAUAGGGGAGCCGAAGGGAAACCGAGUCUUAACUGGGCGUUAAGUUGCAGGGUAUAGACCCGAAACCCGGUGAUCUAGCCAUGGGCAGGUUGAAGGUUGGGUAACACUAACUGGAGGACCGAACCGACUAAUGUUGAAAAAUUAGCGGAUGACUUGUGGCUGGGGGUGAAAGGCCAAUCAAACCGGGAGAUAGCUGGUUCUCCCCGAAAGCUAUUUAGGUAGCGCCUCGUGAACUCGUCUCCGGGGGUAGAGCACUGUUUCGGCAAGGGGGUCAUCCCGACUUACCAACCCGAUGCAAACUGCGAAUACCGGAGAAUGUUAUCACGGGAGACACACGGCGGGUGCUAACGUCCGUCGUGAAGAGGGAAACAACCCAGACCGCCAGCUAAGGUCCCAAAGUCAUGGUUAAGUGGGAAACGAUGUGGGAAGGCCCAGACAGCCAGGAUGUUGGCUUAGAAGCAGCCAUCAUUUAAAGAAAGCGUAAUAGCUCACUGGUCGAGUCGGCCUGCGCGGAAGAUGUAACGGGGCUAAACCAUGCACCGAAGCUGCGGCAGCGACACUGUGUGUUGUUGGGUAGGGGAGCGUUCUGUAAGCCUGUGAAGGUGUACUGUGAGGUAUGCUGGAGGUAUCAGAAGUGCGAAUGCUGACAUAAGUAACGAUAAAGCGGGUGAAAAGCCCGCUCGCCGGAAGACCAAGGGUUCCUGUCCAACGUUAAUCGGGGCAGGGUGAGUCGACCCCUAAGGCGAGGCCGAAAGGCGUAGUCGAUGGGAAACAGGUUAAUAUUCCUGUACUUGGUGUUACUGCGAAGGGGGGACGGAGAAGGCUAUGUUGGCCGGGCGACGGUUGUCCCGGUUUAAGCGUGUAGGCUGGUUUUCCAGGCAAAUCCGGAAAAUCAAGGCUGAGGCGUGAUGACGAGGCACUACGGUGCUGAAGCAACAAAUGCCCUGCUUCCAGGAAAAGCCUCUAAGCAUCAGGUAACAUCAAAUCGUACCCCAAACCGACACAGGUGGUCAGGUAGAGAAUACCAAGGCGCUUGAGAGAACUCGGGUGAAGGAACUAGGCAAAAUGGUGCCGUAACUUCGGGAGAAGGCACGCUGAUAUGUAGGUGAAGCGACUUGCUCGUGGAGCUGAAAUCAGUCGAAGAUACCAGCUGGCUGCAACUGUUUAUUAAAAACACAGCACUGUGCAAACACGAAAGUGGACGUAUACGGUGUGACGCCUGCCCGGUGCCGGAAGGUUAAUUGAUGGGGUUAGCGCAAGCGAAGCUCUUGAUCGAAGCCCCGGUAAACGGCGGCCGUAACUAUAACGGUCCUAAGGUAGCGAAAUUCCUUGUCGGGUAAGUUCCGACCUGCACGAAUGGCGUAAUGAUGGCCAGGCUGUCUCCACCCGAGACUCAGUGAAAUUGAACUCGCUGUGAAGAUGCAGUGUACCCGCGGCAAGACGGAAAGACCCCGUGAACCUUUACUAUAGCUUGACACUGAACAUUGAGCCUUGAUGUGUAGGAUAGGUGGGAGGCUUAGAAGUGUGGACGCCAGUCUGCAUGGAGCCGACCUUGAAAUACCACCCUUUAAUGUUUGAUGUUCUAACGUUGACCCGUAAUCCGGGUUGCGGACAGUGUCUGGUGGGUAGUUUGACUGGGGCGGUCUCCUCCUAAAGAGUAACGGAGGAGCACGAAGGUUGGCUAAUCCUGGUCGGACAUCAGGAGGUUAGUGCAAUGGCAUAAGCCAGCUUGACUGCGAGCGUGACGGCGCGAGCAGGUGCGAAAGCAGGUCAUAGUGAUCCGGUGGUUCUGAAUGGAAGGGCCAUCGCUCAACGGAUAAAAGGUACUCCGGGGAUAACAGGCUGAUACCGCCCAAGAGUUCAUAUCGACGGCGGUGUUUGGCACCUCGAUGUCGGCUCAUCACAUCCUGGGGCUGAAGUAGGUCCCAAGGGUAUGGCUGUUCGCCAUUUAAAGUGGUACGCGAGCUGGGUUUAGAACGUCGUGAGACAGUUCGGUCCCUAUCUGCCGUGGGCGCUGGAGAACUGAGGGGGGCUGCUCCUAGUACGAGAGGACCGGAGUGGACGCAUCACUGGUGUUCGGGUUGUCAUGCCAAUGGCACUGCCCGGUAGCUAAAUGCGGAAGAGAUAAGUGCUGAAAGCAUCUAAGCACGAAACUUGCCCCGAGAUGAGUUCUCCCUGACUCCUUGAGAGUCCUGAAGGAACGUUGAAGACGACGACGUUGAUAGGCCGGGUGUGUAAGCGCAGCGAUGCGUUGAGCUAACCGGUACUAAUGAACCGUGAGGCUUAACCUUACAACGCCGAAG
rnacentral:rRNA from 1 species